CACGUAGGGCGCAAGCGUUGUCCGGAAUCAUUGGGCGUAAAGCGCGUGUAGGCGCCAGAAAAGUCCGCUGUGAAAACUCGAGGCUCAACUUCGAGCUGUCGGUGGAAACUUUCUGGCUAGAGUCCGGAAGAGGAGGAUGGAAUUCCUGGUGUAGCGGUGAAAUGCGCAGAUAUCAGGAAGAACACCCGUGGCGAAGGCGGUUCUCUGGGACGGUACUGACGCUGAGACGCGAAAAGCGUGGGGAGCGAACAGG
rnacentral:rRNA from 1 species